AACGUAGGACGCAAGCGUUAUCCGGAGUUACUGGGCGUAAAGCGCGGGCAGGCGGCUCGCGACGUCUGAUGUGAAAUCUCCUCGCUCAACGGGGAGAGGCCAUUGGAAACGGUCGGGCUGGAGGGCAGUAGAGGCAGGCGGAAUUCCGGGUGGAGUGGUGAAAUGCGUAGAGGUCCGGAGGAACACCAGAGGCGAAGGCGGCCUGCUGGGCUGCACCUGACGCUGAACCGCGAAAGCCAGGGGGGCGAACGGG
rnacentral:rRNA from 1 species